GUUCAGCAGAAAGGUGCUACUGUUGAACAAAAAUAUACUGCCGAGAAGGUUUUUGAUAUCCUCAAGGAAGCUUGGAACAAGUUCAAUAAGGAGGAACUUUCUUAAAAACUUUUGAUGAUUCAUCCUGUUGACUAUUUUUGCGCAAUUUGGCAAUCUCAGAACUCUCAAUUUGGGGCAAAUGAAACUUGUGCAGUUCUGUUCUGCAGCUUUGGGUGCAAUGUGCUUGCAUUACGACAUGAAAUCCAUUAUUAUUCGAUGCUUGGGAAAGAACUUUCGUGUUCGUGUAUGGUUUUGUAUAUUAAUGCUGUUUCUAUAAACAUUACGUGUUACAACAAUCAUAGAACCGCCCCCAGAGUAAGUUCAGACGGCCCAUGCAUUUUAUGUUGGUGGUCAGGAUUCUCAUCGUGAUAUUUUGUUUUUAAAUUUUUUAAGAGGGAGGUGGGAGUUUGCGUGAUGUUCUUUUUUAUUUGUAAUAAUGGUUCUCUGAGCAUCUCCCAAUUGAUGUCUUGAGCACAACGGUCACAUUCUGUGAUUUGAGGUGCUGGUGGGUUAUCCAGUAGUUCCUGAAUCAUGACCAGCAACAUAAAAUGCAUGGGCCGU
rnacentral:misc_RNA from 1 species